UACGUAGGGGGCGAGCGUUGUCCGGAGUUACUGGGCGUAAAGCGCACGCAGGCGGUCUGCUAAGUUUGGAGUGACAGUUGGUGGCUUAACUCCCAAAGUGCUUCGAAAACUGACAGACUUGAGGGCUUCAGAGGGACACGGAAUUCCGGGUGGAGUGGUGAAAUGCGUAGAGAUCCGGAGGAACACCAAAGGCGAAGGCAGUGUCCUGGGGAGUACCUGACGCUCAGGUGCGAAAGCCAGGGGAGCGAACGGG
rnacentral:rRNA from 1 species